GCCGGCCGAUGCAUCCUCUUCUUUCAUCCAACCAUUCGGAAGCUCAGCUAUUGGAUCACUGCCAAGUGGACUGAAUUUGUAUUAAGCACAUCUUCUGAUGUGUUAGCAGAACAAGCAGCAGCAAAUGCUAUGAAGCAGUAGCAGCGCCGUUAACUCCCGGUGCCAACUUUGGUUUCUUUUUGUGCUUGCGUUUCUUCUGUUUUUGUUUCAGUCUCAUUUGAUCUUUAAUACUCUUCUCCCAUUGUUUUUUGUUUUUCUGGUACAGCAGCAUUGCUGCUCGAGCAUCUUCUAUUGGGCAGUGCUCUCCAUUCUGUAUUUUGGCACCAAGAAAUUCAGCAGCAAGAUGCCGAAGGGCCUUUCUGCGUCGCUCCAUGCUGAGAAAGGGUUGAUACUCUGAAGUAUCC
rnacentral:misc_RNA from 1 species